rnacentral:rRNA from 1 species
GACGUAGGGCGCGAGCGUUGUCCGGAUUUAUUGGGCGUAAAGAGCUCGUAGGCGGCUUGUCGCGUCGUCCGUGAAAACCCGAGGCUCAACUUCGGGCUUGCGGUCGAUACGGGCAGGCUAGAGUUCGGUAGGGGAGACUGGAAUUCCUGGUGUAGCGGUGAAAUGCGCAGAUAUCAGGAGGAACACCGGUGGCGAAGGCGGGUCUCUGGGCCGAUACUGACGCUGAGGAGCGAAAGCGUGGGGAGCGAACAGG